rnacentral:rRNA from 1 species
AGUGAACGCUGGCGGUAGGCCUAACACAUGCAAGUCGAACGGCAGCACAGUAAGAGCUUGCUCUUACGGGUGGCGAGUGGCGGACGGGUGAGGAAUACAUCGGAAUCUACUUUUUCGUGGGGGAUAACGUAGGGAAACUUACGCUAAUACCGCAUACGACGUACGGGUGAAAGCAGGGGAUCUUCGGACCUUGCGCGAUUGAAUGAGCCGAUGUCGGAUUAGCUAGUUGGCGGGGUAAAGGCCAACCAAGGCGACGAUCCGUAGCUGGUCUGAGAGGAUGAUCAGCCACACUGGAACUGAGACACGGUCCAGACUCCUACGGGAGGCAGCAGUGGGGAAUAGUGGACAAUGGGCGCAAGCCUGAUCCAGCCAUACCGCGUGGGUGAAGAAGGCCUUCGGGUUGUAAAGCCCUUUUGUUGGGAAAGAAAAGCAGCAGGUUAAUACCCCGCUGUUCUGACGGUACCCAAAGAAUAAGCACCGGCUAACUUCGUG